rnacentral:rRNA from 1 species
GACGGUCUUGCUGUCACUUAUAGAUGGAUCCGCGCUGCAUUAGCUAGUUGGUAAGGUAACGGCUUACCAAGGCAACGAUGCAUAGCCGACCUGAGAGGGUGAUCGGCCACACUGGAACUGAGACACGGUCCAGACUCCUACGGGAGGCAGCAGUAGGGAAUCUUCCGCAAUGGGCGAAAGCCUGACGGAGCAACGCCGCGUGAGUGAUGA